GGUUUUUUUUGUUUGUCUGUCUCUGGUCUCUGUGUUUGAGUCCUCUGCUAGGAGCUGCACUGUUUGCGUAUCCAUCGUGGUUGUGACCUUCUCUCUUUGUUUCUUGUAGCUCAGGGCAUAGGCACGGAAACUUGAACGAAGCAUGAGGGUGAGUGGACAGCAGUGGGGGCCCCGAGUUGGUCGGUGGGCUGUGUUAUUCUGCUUCACCUGUCGGGCCGGCUUUGCAAGUGCCUUGCGACAGCAGAGUACGUCUCCUGCCACGUUUCUGAGAUGUGCCAGACGUCAGCGGUUCCAGUUCCUGAAAUGCUGGAGAUGCUCGGAGCACAAGAGGAGCUGGGAGCACGAUGCAUCUCCUGGGGAUGUUAGCCCCGUGACCUUGGCUCAGCACAGUGAAUGGAAGCGCUAAGCCUGGAUCGGGAAGGGACGAAGAAGGUCCUGGGAACAUCCUAGCUGGCCUCUGUGGUGCACAUUGAUAGUGGAUUCUGAGCCCUGAGAAUUAAGUCCAGGGGGAAAUACUGUGUGUUGUGGAGUGGUUGGCAGAGGGAGGUGGGGAGUUGUUUAAAGGGUGUCUAUCUGAUUUCAGUAGCAGAGCAGGUCAGUUGAUUACUGUUUUGUUUCUGAGGAGGUUGUUUCACUGGAAGAAAUUCGGCUAGUGUGCUGGUGCCUGAUGGCACUUCAUUUCUGCAGGCGAAGAGGAGCCUUGUGCCUGAAGCAAUGUCCUGGCUGGCCUUUGUGUUCCUUGUAGAGUGUAUACCGUAGUAGGAACUGCCCACAGGAAAGAGCUCCUCCUGGAACUGUUCAGCACUCGGUGGGCAGCUCGGUGACUGGCUUGAUCUACUUCUGAGGUGCUGAGGCAAGGGGGCUGCUGUUUUGAAAUGAUAAAGUUGUGAAACACAGUGUACAACACGGGACUUGACCGGAGCUGCUUUUGGCAAGAGGUGUUGUAGCUGGCCUAGAGAGCAGAUGGAAGCAUCUUCCUCGAGGGCAGGUGAGGGGGCUGAGGUGCCGUGGCAGGCUCUCCACAGAAGCGGUUGAGGUUUGGAGAAGAGUUUGCAGAUGAUCAAGGAGCGACACGUGCAGGGAUGGCUUGAAAAGGGUGAUUGGCUUCAGGUUCCAGGUGGGACCUAAUGGUAACUGAGUUGCAGGUAUGCCAUGAGAGAGCUCCUUCUGCCUGGGCUGCACUUUUGGGUGGUGUGGAUGAUACUGGCUGCACUGUUGGAGCUUGGACUCGGAGAGGAACACGUGAGCACAAUCGUAUGUUGCAUCAGCAGUAGUCAGCAUUGUGGAGAAGUAGAGUGUAAACCCUAGGAGGAGCCUGUCACAGGAAAGAGCUCCUUCUGGAACUGUUCAUCACUCAGUAGGCAACUCGGUGACCGGCCUGAUCUACUUCUGAGGUGUGUGGAAUGUUUUAAGAAUUCUAAUUCGUUUCCAUAAAGAAUAAUUCUGUUUGAAUCCUGUCUGCCUCUGGGCCCUGCACUGGCAAUUUAAUUCUUGAACCACAGAUGCUGUGUGUCCCAGUCUCCCCCUCAUUCCAGUCAAUUUAUCACGUCUUUA